CUCUUCCUCUUUUUUUAAUUUUUUUUUCUGUUUCUUUCAAAGCAAAGUAACCCGUGAAUUGUCAUUGGAGUCUGCACCAACAUUCAUAAAAUACUUCUGAAAAAAAGAAUACCUUUUUCAGCCAGAAAACUAUGGAUCUCUUUUUCUUAGGAUCUCUGCUGAUUUUGUUUCCCCAUUUUUGCAGAUCUUUUCUUCUUUUUUUCCAAUUUUUUGCACUCUGUUUCCUUUUUUUUUGGGGCUCGUUAGUUCCUCGAUUUUGUUUUGGACGAAGAAUUAUGGGAGAUCUCAUCCCACGCUCCAACUCCUCUUCUCCAAGUUUGAAAGGUGCAAACUGUUGGAUAUCCCUCGUUAGUGGAGUGAAAAGGUGUAGCUGGUGUUGAUUGGUAGCAAUAAUUCUUCUCUAGUUGCUGUUGUGAUUGACAAUAUCAAUUAGCUUUAUGGAUGGCUUGUGCUUUCAGCUGCCUUGUGUUUUCGAUGUGCACUGUGUGCACGUGUGUGUGCUUGUGUCGCACCAAAGAGAGAAAGAGAGAGAGCACGGCAGAGAGAAGAGAAAUGUGAGGGAGUGGACUGCUUGUGAGACGCAAGCAAGCAGUCCCACGAACUUGAGGAGGAUGUUUCAGGUGGAAGUUAGCUGGGUUCAUCAAAGGUUCAAGGGAAGGUAUAUCUCUUGGGUGAGAGUGUUUUUCACGUGUAUGAGAUUAGAAGACGAACUUAAUUGGGACUUCUUGUCAUCUGUUUGUACCUUGUACGGACGAAAAUUUCAUUCAUUUCAAAAAGUUAUUGGGUUUGUGUAAACACUUCACUAAAUUUGUAAUUGAUUGCCCAUCUAUUUUCUUUUUUCAAUGUUAUACCAUUUCAUCUCA